rnacentral:rRNA from 1 species
CGGCUCAGUAACACGUGGAUAACCUGCCCUUGGGUCCGGCAUAACCCCGGGAAACUGGGGAUAAUUCCGGAUAACGCACAUAUGCUGGAAUGCUUUAUGCGUCAAAUGGAUUCGUCCGCCCAAGGAUGGGUCUGCGGCCUAUCAGGUAGUAGUGGGUGUAAUGUACCUACUAGCCUACGACGGGUACGGGUUGUGAGAGCAAGAGCCCGGAGAUGGAUUCUGAGACAUGAAUCCAGGCCCUACGGGGCGCAGCAGGCGCGAAAACUUUACAAUGCGGGAAACCGUGAUAAGGGGACACCGAGUGCCAGCAUCAUAUGCUGGCUGUCCGGGUGUGUAAAAUACACCUGUUAGCAAGGGCCGGGCAAGACCGGUGCCAGCCGCCGCGGUAACACCGGCGGCCCGAGUGGUGAUCGUGAUUAUUGGGUCUAAAGGGUCCGUAGCCGGUUUGGUCAGUCCUCCGGGAAAUCUGACGGCUCAACCGUUAGGCUUUCGGGGGAUACUGCCAGACUUGGAACCGGGAGAGGUAAGAGGUACUACAGGGGUAGGAGUGAAAUCUUGUAAUCCCUGUGGACCACCUGUGGCG